rnacentral:rRNA from 1 species
AGAGCGAACGCUGGCGGCAGGCCUAACACAUGCAAGUCGAGCGCCCGUAGCAAUACGGGAGCGGCAGACGGGAUAGUAACACGUGGGAACGCGCCCUUCGGUUCGGAAUAACUCAGGGAAACUUGAGCUAAUACCGGAUACGCCCUUACGGGGAAAGAUUUAUCGCCGAAAGAUCGGCCCGCGUCUGAUUAGCUAGUUGGUGGGGUAAUGGCCCACCAAGGCGACGAUCAGUAGCUGGUCUGAGAGGAUGAUCAGCCACAUUGGGACUGAGACACGGCCCAAACUCCUACGGGAGGCAGCAGUGGGGAAUAUUGGACAAUGGGCGCAAGCCUGAUCCAGCCAUGCCGCGUGAGUGAUGAAGGCCCUAGGGUUGUAAAGCUCUUUUGUGCGGGAAGAUAAUGACGGUACCGCAAGAAUAAGCCCCGGCUAACUUCGCGCCAGCAGCCGC